rnacentral:lncRNA from 1 species
UACAGUACAGGGUUUGGUUUUAGAGCCCACAUGACUUACAGUACAGGGUUUGGUUUUAGAGCCCACAUGACUUACAGUACAGUACAGUACAGUACAGGGUUUGGUUAUAGUGUCCACAUGACUUACAGUACAUUACAGGGUUUGGUUUUAGAGCCCACAUUACUUACAGUACAGUACAGGGUUUGGUUAUAGUGUCCACAUGACUUACAGUACAGUACAGUACAGGGUUUGGUUAUAGUGUCCACAUGACUUACAGUACAGUACAGGGUUUGGUUAUAGUGUCCACAUGACUU